GUUCUCUCUUUGGUAGUACAUAUACUGAGGUUGGGAUGAUGCAGAGAAGAUUGGCAUGGCUCCUGACCGAAGGGUUUAUCUUCUUGACAUAAAGACUAUUGAGAUUUAU
ensembl:snRNA U6 U6 spliceosomal RNA